rnacentral:rRNA from 1 species
UACGAAGGGGGCAAGCGUUGUUCGGAAUGACUGGGCGUAAAGGGCGCGUAGGCGGUUCGUUGCGUCAGAUGUGAAAGCCCCGGGCUCAACCUGGGAACUGCAUUUGAUACUCUGGAGCUUGAGUACGGGAGAGGAUAGUGGAAUUCCCAGUGUAGAGGUGAAAUUCGUAGAUAUUGGGAAGAACACCGGUGGCGAAGGCGGCUAUCUGGACCGUAACUGACGCUGAGGCGCGAAAGCGUGGGGAGCAAACAGG